rnacentral:rRNA from 1 species
GGGAAAAUGGACGAGGGAGAGCUGUCUCCUUUACGUAAUUUGAAUUUAACUUUUGAGUGAAAAGGCUCAAAUUAUUUAGUGGGACGAUAAGACCCUAUAAAACUUUAUAUAAGUUUAAUUUGGCUUACAAUUUGAGUGAAAAGUAGCUUUAUUAGGCUUAUAUUUCGUUGGGGAGAUGUAGAUAUAAUGUGUAACUGUCUGUUUAAUUUAAUAAUUAUAAUUAGUGUGUGAUCCUUCUUUGUGGAUAAAAAGUAUAAGUUACUUUAGGGAUAACAGCGUGAUUUUCUUUGAGAGUUCUUAUCGACAAGAGUAGUUGCGACCUCGAUGUUGAAUUAAAAUUUCAGUUAGGUGUAGCCGUCUAGCUGGUAGGUCUGUUCGACCUUUAAAAUUUUACAUGAUUUGAGUUCAAACCGGUGUGAGCCAGGUUGGUUUCAAUAUAA